AUGGAUGGCGUUGGUGAUGGUGUCAAUCAUAAAGCAAGUUGUGAAGGAAAAGAAGUGCUGAGGGAUACACCUAUGCCUAAAAGCAUUGGAGCCGGAGGUGAUGUAUUUUCUAUUCCGGUGUGCAAAGUGCAUGUUGUUGACGGAGCACGUGCAUCGAACAAGGACGCGAAGCCUGCUGUUGUUUCUGAAUUUCUGAAGGAUGCUACAGUUGUGGACACCAACCUAGGCGGUGAUGCUCAUGCUAGUGCAGCAGGCCCCAAGGACGUAGGUGGUUUAAAUGCGUCUCAUGUGAUAGAUAAAUCAAAUGUUGAUGGUGGUGCAUCUGCUCCUGCACACUUUCUGGUAAUCAUGUACAAGUUCCCGAGGGGUUAG
rnacentral:rRNA from 1 species